rnacentral:rRNA from 1 species
UACGAAGGGGGCUAGCGUUGUUCGGAAUCACUGGGCGUAAAGCGCACGUAGGCGGAUUUUUAAGUCAGGGGUGAAAUCCCGAGGCUCAACCUCGGAACUGCCUUUGAUACUGGAGAUCUUGGGUCCGGAAGAGGUAAGUGGAACUGCGAGUGUAGAGGUGAAAUUCGUAGAUAUUCGCAAGAACACCAGUGGCGAAGGCGACUUACUGGUCCGGAACUGACGCUGAGGUGCGAAAGCGUGGGGAGCAAACAGG